rnacentral:rRNA from 1 species
UACGUAGGGGGCAAGCGUUGUCCGGAUUUAUUGGGCGUAAAGAGCUUGUAGGCGGUUUGUCGCGUCUGCUGUGAAAUUUCGGGGCUCAACCCCGAACUUGCAGUGGGUACGGGCAGACUGGAGUGUGGUAGGGGAGACUGGAAUUCCUGGUGUAGCGGUGGAAUGCGCAGAUAUCAGGAGGAACACCGAUGGCGAAGGCAGGUCUCUGGGCCACUACUGACGCUGAGAAGCGAAAGCAUGGGGAGCGAACAGG